rnacentral:tRNA from 1 species
GUCCCGGUAGCUCAAUUGGACUGGAGCGCCUCGCUACGGACGAGAAGGAUGUGGGUUCGAAUCCCCCUCGGGACGCCA